rnacentral:rRNA from 1 species
AUGAUGAUUUUUGUUGAUGAAUUUUGUUUUGCUGGAUGCGAUGUUAAUUUUUGCUGGAACCGGCUUCUUUUUUGCUGCAUCCAUCUACUGGACUUUUGUUUGCUGGAGCACGGUGUUGCAAGCCGACGACAGCGGCAAGCCGGAGACGGUGAUUUUGCUGGAAGCGGCAUAAUGUUUUGCUGGAAUUGGCUAAUUUUUUUUGCUUCAACAACUACUGGACUUCUUAUUGCUGAAUUUUGUUGUGCUGGAUCUAGCGUUAAAUUUUGCUGGAACCGACUUCUAUUUUUGCUUCAACCAUUUACUGAAAAUUUUGUUUGA